GUGACUAUAAGUGCUGCAAAAAGUUAAAUUCAAAACAUCUAAAAUUUUGUAAAUUAUCGCAAUAUUACUAAGAAAAGUGAAAUUAUAAUAACUGGAUGCAAAAAUACAGUAGCGGAAAAUGAAAGUUUCUUCAGUAUUAAAUUUUCAAAAAAAUUUCGCCUAGUAUAAAAAUCGAAAUUGUAUUAAAGUGUUCUUUAAUCGCAAUGUGAAUUAAUAUCAAAUCAGCAACAGUUUUGAUAUGAAAUGGUAUUCAAUGCUAAAUACUAUGCUGGCAACUCAGCCGGUUUUAAGCAACUAUCGCAACAACACUGUGAGCAACAAUCCCACGUGCCGCAAUCCGAACUAUGUUCAACAAAAACUCGACAUACAGGUAGUGAUCUAAAACCAGCGACUACUGUGUGUGGGGGUGACUCCACUACAUCAACCUCAAUUACUGUAUCUACCGAUUCAGUGAAAUCGAGUCAUAAUCAUCAAAUCCAGCAUAUUAAAAAAAACGGAACUAACAUUAAUGACAAAAAAAAUCAAACUAUAGGCUGUACAAUUAGCUCUUUAACAGAAAAGCUAGAAAACCCGACAUUGGUGUCUAUUAAAAGAUGUGUUGCAUCCAACUCAACAACAAGAACUUCGGCAGUGACAUCCACCUCAACACUUCCAGCAGCUAGUUUAAAUUAUUAUGGCUUAGGUAUACCCAAGUCGCCGUCAAUUCACAGUGGACUUGAUCAGUUGGCCAGCAAAAAAAACGACUCUUACAUAAAUCGACCGCAUUUAUCAAAUGCGAACAGUUAUAAAGACAGCGCUAGCCCACACAUUGUUAGCGGUGACUUAACAAAGAAAGGAAUUGUAGUAACAAACAACGGUUUAAGAUUCAAUUUCACUAACAUUAAUGAAAUCAAAGCGAAAUUUCUAGUUGACGAAACGUCGGCUUCUGAAACACAUUUGGCUAAUAAUCACAAUUGUCUUACCUCAACAAUGUCACAGCAUCAACAACGACAAAAGGUCGAAAUACAGUCAACAGUGGUAGCAUCGCAAUCAAUUACAACAAGCAGCAACGUGUUAUCAGCUAUAACAACAAAUUCUAUUGGCUCAGCCUCUACAUACGUUUCCAACAGCACAUCCUCAUAUUCCUCAUCGUCAUCUGCAUGUAUAUCGAUUUCGGCCGGAACAAGUACGCCAGUUGUUGGUGGAAUGCGUGGUAGUGGCAUUGGCGGUGUUGUCGUUGGCGGGGUUGCCACCAAUAGCAUCAGCACUGCCAUUGUCACCUCAUCAACGACGACAACGUCAUCUUCACUGGUUGCGACACUGACACAGCACUUUUCAGCGGCCACCUCGGCUACUUCACUGCUUUCAACGGCUGCCUCAUCAUCAUUAACCACUAAUAAUAAGUCGUCGAUUAGUGCAGCCGCCGCAAUCAAAAAUAUUCUCAAUGCCACAAAAAGUGUUGGAAACUCGGCUGCAUCUGUGGCGACGGGACAAGCGACAAAUCCUGCAGGAAAUGGCAGCGCAAAUGUGGCACAAAAUAUCGUUAGUGGUAUUAGUAUAUCGUUGGGAAUUGGUGGAUCAGCGAACAAUAACGCCGGUAAAAACGAACUUUCAUUAUGCAGCGGAAAUAGUACAUCUUUAACAGCAAAAUUAAAUAAUAUUAAUUCGUCCCAUUUUCAAAAUGGCGACGAAGCGCACAAUACCAUGAGCACCGGUGUUGGUAACAAUACUUGUAACGGCGGAAUUGACGGUGUUGAUAAUAAUAACUGUAGCAAGGACAGCACAAGUGGCCGCGGAAUCCUAUCGCCACAAACUUUACAACAAAUCACUGGAAGUCCUGGACGCGCAAGAGACCGCAAUCUAUUCCAUUCACCAUCCACAACAUCGACGGCCACACCUCUGCCGCUCCUACGAGAAACCCCCGCAAAUGAACGUGAACAACUUUUGAUUCAAAAGUUAAGGCAAUGUUGCACGCUCUUCGAUUUUUCCGAGCCCUUAAGCGAUCUAAAAUGGAAGGAAGUAAAGCGCGCUGCACUGCACGAAAUGGUCGAGUAUCUCUCUAACCAGAAUGGUGUAAUCACGGAGUCAAUUUAUCCGGAGGCAAUAAAUAUGUUUGCGGUAAAUUUAUUUCGUACAUUACCACCAUCAUCAAAUCCCAACGGCGCUGAAUUCGAUCCGGAAGAGGAUGAGCCUACGCUAGAAUCAUCGUGGCCCCAUUUACAAUUUGUCUACGAACUAUUUUUGCGUUUCCUCGAAUCACCAGAUUUUCAGCCGAACAUCGCUAAGCGUUAUAUUGAUCACCAAUUUGUGUUGCAGCUGUUGGAUCUUUUUGAUUCGGAGGAUCCACGUGAACGUGACUUCCUUAAGACUGUACUGCAUCGGAUCUAUGGAAAGUUUUUGGGUUUAAGAGCAUUUAUACGCAAACAAAUCAAUAACGUAUUUUAUCGUUUUAUUUAUGAGACCGAGCAUCACAAUGGCAUUGCUGAACUUUUAGAAAUUCUCGGUAGUAUUAUAAAUGGUUUCGCAUUACCACUAAAAGAGGAGCACAAACAAUUUUUGCUGAAAGUUUUAUUACCAUUGCACAAAGCGAAAAGCCUAUCUGUUUACCAUCCGCAAUUGACUUAUUGCGUUGUGCAGUUUUUGGAGAAAGAUCCAAGUUUAUCGGAGCCAGUCAUAAGGAGUCUUUUAAAGUUUUGGCCUAAAACGCAUAGUCCUAAGGAAGUAAUGUUUUUAAACGAGUUGGAGGAGCUGCUUGAUGUAAUCGAACCGGCUGAAUUUCAAAAAGUAAUGGAGCCAUUAUUUCGACAAAUCGCCAAAUGUGUGUCGUCACCACAUUUUCAGGUCGCUGAACGAGCGCUUUAUUACUGGAAUAACGAGUAUAUAAUGUCGCUGAUAGCAGACAAUUCGCAGAUAAUUUUGCCGAUAAUGUUUCCGGCUUUAAAUCGUAAUUCAAAAACGCAUUGGAAUAAAACUAUACAUGGACUGAUUUAUAAUGCACUAAAAUUGUUCAUGGAGAUGAAUCAGCGUCUUUUCGACGAGUGUAGUCGAAACUACCGCCAAGAGAAGCAACUGGAACGUGAAAAGAUGUCACAACGUGAAGAGCUUUGGAUGCAAGUAGAGUCUUUAGCCAAAAGCAAUCCUGAAUGGCCUAAAAUGUGCGGCCAAAUGGAUAAUUUAAGUAUUUCAAGUAGUCAAAAUGAGUUUGAAGAGAAUGAGAAUUGUGAUCUAACUUAUGACAAAUUGGAACAAGAAAGCAGACAACCGCAGAUACAGCAACAAACAGCACAGGAAACUAGAGAGGUAAGCCAAAUAUUUGUUGUUGUUUGAAAAUAUUUAUGAGGUGGUAUAUAGGCGAAUUUUCCACACACCAUACUACAAUUUUGUAUUCAUAAUGUCUAUAAGUUUACUAAUAAUUUCAUCGAAUCGAUCUUCGUUACUCAUUAUAUGUAUAUAUUUAAAUAUGUUAUGUACAUUUAUAAGCUGUUAAUAUGUUCUUUUGUGGGGUGCAUGUUGGUUAUUUAUAUGUUACAGCUUAGCUACUUACUUCAAGUAUGCAAUAUUAGUUUAUAUGCACAUAUUUUUAAAAGUGUCUGGCUUUCUAAAAUUAAACAAGUUUAUAACCACAAAUUCUUCUUAAAUUAAAUAUAUAGAAAAUAAAAUUCAUAUAUAGUUAUAUAUGGCAUUUUCGAAUCUGAAUUCUUUAUUCGAAUUAAAUACAGACAGUUGAUUUUAUUGUGUAGUAAUUUGUACACAAAGAUUCAACUAACUCAAUUAUCUGCAGUCAAACGAAGAGGAAAUCCUUUACACGCAUUCAUUAACACAUGUAUAUAUUUGUAUAUAUUUACGGUGGUGUUAAUAUAAUCUGUAUUUGUAAAUCAGUUAAUUAUUAUUGUAGCAUCGAUAUUUUCAAGCAUAGCUAAAAAAAAAAUUUGCUACUUGCGAAACUACUCAUUCCAAACAGAUACGAGGGGAACGCAAUAAAGACAAGCCGUUGUUGCGUCGAAAGUCGGAUUUGCCAGCUGAUAGUGGCACAAUUCGUGCCUUAUUCGAACACAAGCGGACAGACGAUUUCUUGAAGACUCCUCCAGAUGUGAACAAAUAUUAAAGGAACUAAUGCAAGUGAACCCAAUACAAGAAAAAACCACUAUCUAUUGCAAUAUAUAACUUGAUACUUACCGUAGAUAUAUAUUAAUUCAUUGAAAUUUGAAAAUAAAUAUUGUCAAUAUAGCGUUACAUAUCUAAUAUACAUGCGUAACAUACAAAUAUAUAUACUAGAUUAUAAAGAUAUAUCAGUUGGGUUUCAGAGAUAACAUAACGUUUUGUAUUCGAAACCAAAACAUCUAUAAUUUUUAAGAAGUAAUUUGUUUUUCUUCUUAUUCGUGUUUGCAAUAGAAACCAACAAAAGUUGUUCCAUGAGAAACACCAGCAACAACAACCAGUCGUUUCUUCUUUUAAUUUUUUUUGCAUGAUAUAAGGUUUAAAAUGGUAUGUAAAAAAUUUUCGAUUUUCAAAUGCUAUCUAAGUCAAAUGCAUGGCGCCGUAUUUAAGUAUAUUCAUGCUAAUGCGUAUAACCAUAUAAUACGAAAAUUUUACUUUUUAAAUAUUACCAUUGUAAUAGAUUACGAAUUAAGUGUGAAACACACCAAAUGCUUAAUGCUGCAUAAAUAAAUGAAAAUACAAGCAUAAUAAAAUCAAUAAUUAAAAUUACACUUUAAAAAGAGUGUUUUGCUUUUGGUGUGUCUACAAUAAUUCUACUAAAAAUAACUUAUAAUUUAUUAGAACAUAUGUAUAACUUUAAUAUCAAAUUUGUGUAAUACGAUAUAUCUAUAGAUACCUACAAAUGUGUAACAGAGAUGUUGUUUUGAAUACGAUUCACUAUAAUGAGUAUUUAAUAUUUAUAUGAAUAUUUAAUUCGAAGAAACAACAUCGAUACGGCUCCGACUUUAUGAUACAAGUUAUUAAUCAAUGUCAAAAAUGAAACUACAAUAAAGAAAAAAUAAAUAUCAUCUUAAUUCUUGCUUGACUAUAACUUAUAUAUGGUUUGCAGUGCAUGUACUCGUAUACUUAUAUACUGUUACUUACUGGUAUAUAUGCCUUUGAUUCAGUGCAGUUUUGUAGCGCAAGAGAUAAACGCAUCGGUUUCAUCAACCGAUAUGGAAAGAGAGGAUCUUUAAAAGAUAAACGUCUAUAGAGUAUUGAAAAUAGAUUAUUGCAUGUUUUAAACGUGGUUUUGAAUUGAAAAACGACUAUGAUACUUUAUGGUGAAAUGUGUUACUACUUUUAAUACACAAAUAUUUAAAUUUAAGAAAGAUUAACUAUAUCUAAUUUAUGAAUAAAAAUGAAAAUUAACGAAA